rnacentral:tRNA from 1 species
ACUUAAGUAGUUUAAUUAAAAUAUUGGUUUGUGAUGCCAAGGAUGUAAAUUUGUACCUUAGGUU